rnacentral:rRNA from 1 species
AACGCUGGCGGCGCGCUUAGCACAUGCAAGUCGAGCGAGAACCAGGACUUCGGUCCUGGGGACAGCGGCGAACGGGUGAGUAACACGUGGGUAAUCUGCCCUCGAUUCUGGGAUAGCCCGGGGAAACCCGGAUUAAUACCGGAUAGCCUUUCGAGCCUUCGGGCGCGAAAGAAAAGGUAGCUUCGGCCUCCGAUCGAGGAUGAGCCCGCGGUGGAUUAGCUUGUUGGUGGGGUAAUGGCCCACCAAGGCAACGAUCCAUAGCUGGUCUGAGAGGACGAUCAGCCACACUGGGACUGAGACACGGCCCAGACUCCUACGGGAGGCAGCAGUGGGGAAUCUUGCGCAAUGGGCGAAAGCCUGACGCAGCGACGCCGCGUGGGGGAAGAAGGCCUUAGGGUUGUAAACCUCUUUCAGGUGGGACGAAGCCACUCGGGUUAAUAGCCCAGAGGGUGACGGUACCGCCAGAAGAAGCCCCGGCUAACUACGUGCCAGCCGCCGCCGUAAAAC